rnacentral:rRNA from 1 species
UACAGAGGUGGCAAGCGUUGUUCGGAAUUACUGGGCGUAAAGGGCGCGUAGGCGGUCUUGCAAGUCCCGUGUGAAAUCCCUCGGCUCAACUGAGGAAUUGCACGGGAAACUGCUUGGCUUGAGAUCGGGAGAGGGAAGCGGAAUUCCGGGUGUAGCGGUGAAAUGCGUAGAUAUCUGGAGGAACACCGGUGGCGAAGGCGGCAUCCUGGACCAACACUGACACUGAGGAGCGAAAGCCAGGGGAGCAAACGGG